rnacentral:lncRNA from 1 species
UGAACAUCAAGUAUAUUCAUGAACAGUGAGUAUCUUCUCGCAAACAGUUUUAGGUAUGAGACCCAGAUGGUACCCCUUAGGGUAAGAGUUUUAGCCCCUACCCCAAUAAGCCCCAUCCCCUCACAGCUCAACUCUGCAGUACACAUUGGGGUGCAAACCAAAGGUAGCUCCCAGGAAUAUUUUUUCUUCAGGUGUCAAAGAUCCCCAAGUGAUCUCAACAUUCACCCCUUCCUGUUGUUACAUUCGCUUGUCUGCAAGAUAGCUGCUUAGCACAGGUCAGUAGUGAAGCUCUGAUCAAAAAUACAUAAUAUACAAAAACAAAGAAGAAACAUAUUUGGCCCCUUAAGACAAACCACCUGAUGACCUCCCCAUCUCUCCAGGGCCACUCCUAGGAGCAUAGAUGUCUUGGAGAGGCCAAUGCCACCCAGCUGCUCUCCUGGCUCUGUCACACCGCUGUCGUCUUAAUUGUCUGUAACAAUAAAAAUAAGCACGUACAACAUACACAUCCACCCAGAAGUCUGGUUGGCCCCUAAGCCUUUGUUUCGUGUUACAGUACUGGGGAGCAUGUGCCCCCAAAUGGUAGCCACCUGAACAUCGCAGUAAGCUUCCUAGGAAACACAGUGUAGCCCCCACUCAUUGUCCUUCCCUCAGGUGGCUGUUGUCCGUUUUCUAACACACAGGCAUCAAUUCUUCAGGUCCUGUCUGUCCAUGUCCACCCCAAAAGUUCAGUUACGUGUGCCAUGGGAGUAAGGUCGGUCCCCAGAACCAUGUUCAGCUCUCCUCAAUGAGCAGCGGUUGGGAGCUGUACAGAUUUUUCUUGAUGAUUCAGAAACCCAUGCCCAGGGUCUGGAACUGGCUGAAGCCAGAGACGAAGGGAGAGUUGGCAGAGCUGAACAGCCCCUGGAUCUUAGGCCAGAGGCAUUAGUCCACAUGCAGCACGAGGGUCAGCUGGAAGGUGGGUACCAGGAUGGGGUUGAGGGCCAUCUGACCAAUGCUGUGGCAGCUCUUCCCCUAUUUCACGCAGACAUCCAGCAGUGCUCCUCAC